rnacentral:rRNA from 1 species
CGUAGGGUGCGAGCGUUAAUCGGAAUUACUGGGCGUAAAGGGUGCGCAGGCGGUUAUGAAAGACAGGCGUGAAAUCCCCGGGCUUAACCUGGGAACUGCGUUUGUGACUACAUGACUCGAGUACGGCAGAGGGGGUGGAAUUCCACGUGUAGCAGUGAAAUGCGUAGAGAUGUGGAGGAACACCGAUGGCGAAGGCAGCCCCCUGGGCCAGUACUGACGCUCAUGCACGAAAGCGUGGGGAGCAAACAGGAUUAGAUACCCUGGUAGUCCACGCCCUAAACGAUGUCAACUAGUUGUUGGUAGGGUAAAACCUAUUAGUAACGUAGCUAACGCGUGAAGUUGACCGCCUGGGGAGUACGGCCGCAAGGUUA